rnacentral:rRNA from 1 species
GACGAACGCUGGCGGCGUGCUUAACACAUGCAAGUCGAACGGAAAGGCCCUGCUUUUGUGGGGUGCUCGAGUGGCGAACGGGUGAGUAACACGUGAGUAACCUGCCCUUGACUUUGGGAUAACUUCAGGAAACUGGGGCUAAUACCGGAUAGGAGCUCCUGCUGCAUGGUGGGGGUUGGAAAGUUUCGGCGGUUGGGGAUGGACUCGCGGCUUAUCAGCUUGUUGGUGGGGUAGUGGCUUACCAAGGCUGUGACGGGUAGCCGGCCUGAGAGGGUGACCGGCCACAUUGGGACUGAGAUACGGCGCAGACGCCUACGGGAGGCAGCAGUGGGGAAUAUUGCACAAUGGGCGGAAGCCUGAUGCAGCAGCGCCGCGUGCGGGAUGACGGCCUUCGGGUUGUGAACCGCUUUCGCCUGUGACGAAGCGUGAGUGACGGUAAUGGAUAAAGAAGCACCGGCUAACUACGUG